rnacentral:rRNA from 1 species
GAUGAACGCUGGCGGCGUGCCUAAUACAUGCAAGUCGAGCGAACAGAUGAGGAGCUUGCUCCUCUGACGUUAGCGGCGGACGGGUGAGUAACACGUGGAUAACCUACCUAUAAGACUGGGAUAACUUCGGGAAACCGGAGCUAAUACCGGAUAAUAUAUUGAACCGCAUGGUUCAAUAGUGAAAGACGGUUUUGCUGUCACUUAUAGAUGGAUCCGCGCCGCAUUAGCUAGUUGGUAAGGUAACGGCUUACCAAGGCAACGAUGCGUAGCCGACCUGAGAGGGUGAUCGGCCACACUGGAACUGAGACACGGUCCAGACUCCUACGGGAGGCAGCAGUAGCGAAUCUUCCGCAAUGGGCGAAAGCCUGACGGAGCAACGCCGCGUGAGUGAUGAAGGUCUUCGGAUCGUAAAACUCUGUUAUUAGGGAAGAACAAAUGUGUAAGUAACUAUGCACGUCUGGACGGUACCUAAUCAGAAAACCACGGAUAACUACGU